GUUAUAUAGUCUAAUAGGAUAUUAAAUUGCAAAUUUAAAGGUAAAAUUUAUUUUAUAACUUA
rnacentral:tRNA from 1 species